UUCCAGAGCUGGAUCUUCUGUGUGGUGAUUUCAAUCUGGGAGCAGCUUGUGAAAUGAAGCUACUCAUUGUUUGGUGGACAGAUAAGCCAAGAAGGGAGAGGGGGUUGUUUGGCUUGGAGAGGCGGCUCACCAGGCAUCUUGUGACAGAGUAACAAACAUAGAAAAAUAAUCAUGGAAAUGAAGAAGGAAAACCUGUACAAGAUGAAAAGAACAGCAAUAGCACUAGAAAUUUCCAACAGACAAUUAAGGGAAAGGGGGAAACAGAGGAGACAAUGCGACAGGUAUCACAAGAGGAAGACAAUGAAAGGAUCUCAGACUGAUACUCAAGUCAUUGGUGCAUUUCCACUGAGCAGAGAUAAAAAUCAAGGAAGAUUAAACCCUACUAAUUACUCACUGGAAGCCUCAGAGUCAAGUGCUUCCCAAGAACUGAUGGCCAAAAUAAGCUUAGAAAAAGCUCUUCUUACAAUACUAACAAAAUGGAACUUUCUCUAUCCAGAACUAUCCAGCAUCUAAUAAAACCAAUGCCAGAAAGCAACAACUCUGCAUUUCUCUACGUUGAGGCCUACUGACCCCCUUCUCUAGCCUUGCUCCUAUUCCUCAUAGUAUAUAGUGUGGUCUUAAGAGUGAGCCUUUUGGGGGCACCUGGGUGGCUCAGUCAUUAAGCGUCUGCCUUCGGCUCAGGUCAUGAACCCAGGGUCCUGGGAUCGAGCCCCACAUUGGGCUCCCUGCUUCGCAGGAAGCCUGCUUCUCCCUAUCCCACUCCCCCUGCUUGUGUUCCUGCUCUCGCUGUGUCUCUG
rnacentral:lncRNA from 1 species